rnacentral:rRNA from 1 species
CCGUGAAAAAAUUAGAGUGUUCAAAGCAGGCAGAUUCAAUUUUCUGCCACCGAAUACAUUAGCAUGGGAUAAUGGAAUAGGACCCUGUCCUCCUAUUUUCAGUUGGUUUUGGCAGCGCGAGGACUAGGGUAAUGAUUAAUAGGGAUAGUUGGGGGCAUUAAUAUUUAAUUGUCAGAGGUGAAAUUCUUGGAUUUAUGAAAGAUUAACUUCUGCGAAAGCAUCUGCCAAGGAUGUUUUCAUUAAUCAAGAACGAAAGUUAGGGGAUCGAAGACGAUCAGAUACCGUCGUAGUCUUAACCAUAAACGAUGCCGACCAGCGAUUAGGAGACGUUGAAUACAAAACACCACCAUCGGCGCGGUCGUCCUUGGCGUUCGUGUUCACGCACGAGCGCGAGGGCGGC